AGGUUAGAGGCGUUUCUACCACAGCAGGCCUGGAGGAGAGAGGUUAGAGGCUUUUCUACCACAGCAAGCCUGGAGGAGAGAGGUUAGAGGCUUUUCUACCACAGCAGGCCUGGAGGAGAGAGGUUAGAGGCUUUUCUACCACAGCAGGCCUGGAGGAGAGAGGUUAGAGGCGUUUCUACCACAACAGGCCUGGAGGAGAGAGGUUAGAGGCGUUUCUACCACAGCAGGCCUGGAGGAGAGAGGUUAGAGGCGUUUCUACCACAACAGGCCCGGAGGAGAGAGGUUAGAGGCGUUUCUACCACAGCAUGCCUGGAGGAGAGAGGUUAGAGGCGUUUCUACCACAGCAUGCCUGGAGGAGAGAGGUUAGAGGCGUUUCUACCACAACAUGCCUGGAAGAGAGAGGUUAGAGGCGUUUCUACCACAACAGGCCUGGAGGAGAGAGGUUAGAGGCUUUUCUACCACAGCAGGCCUGGAGGAGAGAGGUUAGAGGCGUUUCUACCACAACAGGCCUGGAGGAGAGAGAGGUGAGCACGACGCAACGUGGAGUGCCUGGAUACAGCCCUUAGCCAUAGUACACUAUAUUUACAAAAGUAUGUGGACACCCCUUCAAAUGAGUGGAUUCUUCUAUUUCAGCCACACCCUUUGCUGACAGGUGUAUAAAAUCGAGCACACGGCCAUCCAAUCUCCAUAGACAAGCAUUGGCAGUAAAAUGGCCUUACUGAAGAGCUCAGUGAUUUUCAAUAUGGCACCGUCAUAGGAUGCCACCUUUCCAUCAGUCCCAAAGUGGUAGGCCACACAAGUUCACAGAACGGGAUCGCCGAGCGCUGAAGGGCGUAAAAAUCGUCUGUCCUCGGUUGCAACACUCACUACAUGGUUCCAAACUGCAUCUGGAAGCAAUGUCAGCACAAGAACUGUUAGUCUGGAGCUUCAUGAAAUGGGUUUCCAGCCGCACACAAUCCUAAAAUAACCAUACGCAAUGCCAAGCAUCGGCUGGAGUGGUGUAAAGCUUGCUGCCAUUGGACUCUGGAGCAGUGGAAACACGUUCUCUGGAGUGAUGAAUCACGCUUCACCAUCUGGCAGUUCGACGGACAAAUCUGGGUUCAGAACACCUGCUCGAAUGCAUAGUGCCAGCUAUAAAGUUUGGUGGAGGAGGUAUAAUGGUCUGGGCCUGUUUUUAAUGGUUUGGGCUAGGCCCCUUAGUUCCUGUAAAGGGGGAAUCCUAAUGUUCCUAGGCCAUCAUUGAAAAUAAGAAUUUGUUCUUAACUGACUUGCCUAGUGAAAUAAAGGGAAAAUAAAAAAUAAAAAAUGCUACAACAUUCUUGAACAAUUCUGUGCUUCCAACUUUGUGGGAAGGCCCUUUCCUAUUUCAGCAUGGCAAUGCCACCUUGCACACAGCAUGGUCCAUAUAGAAAUGGCUUGUUGAGAUCGUUGUGGAAGAACUUGACUGGCCUGCACAGAGACCUGACCUCAACCCCAUCGAACACCUUUGGGAUGAAUUGGAACGCCGACUGCGAGCCAGGCCUAAUUGCCCAACAUCAGUGCCCAACCUCACGAAUGCUCUUGUGGCUGAAUGGAAGCAAGUCCUCGCAGAAACGUUCCAACAUCUAGUGGAAAGCCUUCCCAGAAGAGUGGAGGCUGUUAUAGCAGCAAAGGGUGGACCAACUCCAUAUUAAUGCCCAUGAUUU